UGGCGAACGGGUGAGUAACAUAUCGGAACAUGUCCGGAAGUGGGGGAUAACGUAGCGAAAGUUACGCUAAUACCGCAAUGCCCCGAGGGGGAAAGGUGGGGAUCGCAAGACCUAUCGCUUUCGGAGUGGCCGAUAUCGGAUUAGCUAGUUGGUGGGGUAAAGGCCCACCAAGGCGACGAUCCGUAGCUGGUUUGAGAGAACGACCGGCCACACUGGAACUGAGACACGGUCCAGACUCCUACGGGAGGCAGCAGUGGGGAAUUUUGGACAAUGGGGGCAACCCUGAUCCAGCCAUGCCGCGUGAGUGAAGAAGGCCUUCGGGUUGUAAAGCUCUUUCGUGAGGAAAGAAACGGUUACGGUGAAUAUCCGUGACUAAUGACGGUACCUCAAGAAGAAGCACCGGCUAACUACGUGCCAGCAGCCGCGGUAAUACGUAGGGUGCGAGCGUUAAUCGGAAUUACUGGGCGUAAAGCGUGCGCAGGCGGUUUUGUAAGACAGGUGUGAAAUCCCCGGGCUUAACCCGGGAACUGCAUUUGUGACUGCAAGGCUAGAGUGCGGCAGAGGGGGGUAGAAUUCCACGUGUAGCAGUGAAAUGCGUAGAUAUGUGGAGGAAUACCGAUGGCGAAGGCAGCCCCCUGGGUCGACACUGACGCUCAUGCACGAAAGCGUGGGGAGCAAACAGGAUUAGAUACCCUGGUAGUCCACGCCCUAAACGAUGUCAACCAGGUGUUGGGGAAGGAGACUUCUUUAGUACCGCAGCUAACGCGCUAAGUUGACCGCCUGGGGAGUACGGUCGCAAGAUUAAAACUCAAGGAAUUGACGGGGACCCGCACAAGCGGUGGAUUAUGUGGAUUAAUUCG
rnacentral:rRNA from 1 species